UGAAUGAGAGAAGAAAAAAGUUUUUGUUCCGUGAAAUUUAUUUAGACUCUGAAUUUGAUUUGUUCAAUAAAAAGUAUUUGAGGCAGUCCUCUGGAGCCUUCCGGAUAGGUCUAAUCACAUUUCUUUGUAUUAUUUAAUCCAGGUAUUUGAAGCAGUACUCUAACCUUCCGGACAGGUCGAAUAACUCAUCUUUGUAUCAUUUUAUUCAGGUAUUUGAGGCAGUCCUCUGGAGCCUUCCGGAUAGGUCUAAUCACAUUUCUUUGUAUUAUUUAAUCCAGGUAUUUGAAGCAGUACUCUAACCUUCCGGACAGGUCGAAUAACUCAUC